rnacentral:rRNA from 1 species
CCUACGGGUGGCAGCAGUGAGGAAUAUUGGUCAAUGGACGAGAGUCUGAACCAGCCAAGUAGCGUGAAGGAUGACUGCCCUAUGGGUUGUAAACUUCUUUUAUAUGGGAAUAAAACGUUCCACGUGUGGGAUUUUGUAUGUACCAUAUGAAUAAGGAUCGGCUAACUCCGUACCAGCAGCCGCGGUAAUACGGAGGAUCCGAGCGUUAUCCGGAUUUAUUGGGUUUAAAGGGAGCGUAGGUGGAUUGUUAAGUCAGUUGUGAAAGUUUGCGGCUCAACCGUAAAAUUGCAGUUGAAACUGGCAGUCUUGAGUAUAGUAGAGGUGGGCGGAAUUCGUGGUGUAGCGGUGAAAUGCUUAGAUAUCACGAAGAACUCCGAUUGCGAAGGCAGUUCACUGGACUGCAACUGACACUGAGGCUCGAAAGUGUGGGUAUCAAACAGGAUUAGAUACCCUAGUAGUC